AACGCACCUUGCACUCUUUGGUAUUCCGAAGAGUAUGUCUGUUUGAGUGUCAUGAAAUUCUCAACCCCCCCAUUUUGUAAUGAGAUGGGAGUUAGGGCUUGGAUUAUGGCUGUUUGCAGGACCUUUAAGUAGGACCAGCUCAGCUGAAAUACAUGAGCAACGCUUUUCGAAAUAGCGGCUUGACUCGGCGUAAUAGCUUAUUCGCUGAGGACGCUUGUUCGAAUACAGUCGCUUCUAAUUCAACUACUUUAAGCUUUAGACCUCAAAUCAGUCAGGAUUACCCGCUGAACUUAA
rnacentral:misc_RNA from 1 species